rnacentral:rRNA from 1 species
AUGUCUAGGGUUCGUGGCGUGGAAGGACGCAUAUGACGGCGAUACUGGCGCAGCAUCUAAUGUGUGCCGUUUCCGAAGUUGGCUACUCCCUCAACUUAAGCAUAUCAAUAGGGGACGGAGAAGAAACAAACAUGGAUUCCCUUAGUAGUGGCGAAUGAAGCGGGAGCUGUCCGGAGGGCGAGCCGUUAGGCGUUGUAGACCAGAUGUAAUGAAGUGGCAUGGAAGUACACACGACACAGGGUGAGAGUCCCGUUUGAACUAUAGUAGAAGAGUAACGCUGCUUGGUACUGCAGCGCGAAUGGGGUGGUUGGACCAUCCAAGACUAAAUAUACGCGAACACCGAUAGUGGACAAGUACUGCGAAGGAAAGACGACAGCUCAUGAGGGCUGAUGAUUGAAAUUCCAGAGCACCGAAGUCAAUUGAUUGCACCCGUCUUGAAACACGGAC